UACGGAGGAUCCAAGCGUUAUCCGGAUUUAUUGGGUUUAAAGGGUGCGUAGGCGGCGUGUUAAGUCAGAGGUGAAAUUCGGCAGCUCAACUGUCAAAUUGCCUUUGAUACUGGCAUGCUUGAAUGCGAUUGAGGUAGGCGGAAUGUGACAUGUAGCGGUGAAAUGCUUAGAUAUGUGACAGAACACCGAUUGCGAAGGCAGCUUACCAAGUCGUUAUUGACGCUGAGGCACGAAGGCGUGGGGAGCAAACAGG
rnacentral:rRNA from 1 species